UACGUAGGGGGCUAGCGUUGUCCGGAAUCAUUGGGCGUAAAGAGCGUGUAGGCGGCUUGGUAAGUCCGCUGUGAAAGUCCAGGGCUUAACCCUGGAAAGCCAGUGGAAACUGUCAAGCUAGAGUCCGGAAGAGGUGAGUGGAACUCCGUGGUGUAGCGGUGAAAUGCGCAGAUAUCAGGAGGAACACCGGUGGCGAAGGCGGGUCUCUGGGCAAUGAACUGACGCUGGAGGAGCGAAAGCGUGGGGAGCGAACAGG
rnacentral:rRNA from 1 species